rnacentral:rRNA from 1 species
UACGUAGGUUGCAAGCGUUGUCCGGAAUCAUUGGGCGUAAAGCGCGCGCAGGCGGUCCCUUAAGUCUGAUGUGAAAGCCCACGGCUCAACCGUGGAGGGUCAUUGGAAACUGGGGGACUUGAGUACAGAAGAGGAAAGCGGAAUUCCACGUGUAGCGGUGAAAUGCGUAGAGAUGUGGAGGAACGCCAGUGGCGAAGGCGGCUUUCUGGUCUGUAACUGACGCUGAGGCGCGAAAGCGUGGGGAGCAAACAGG